rnacentral:misc_RNA from 1 species
AUGGAAACAACCCAAGUAUACAUUUUUCAACAACCCAUAUCAUCGUCAUCUCAAAUGUCUAAAUUUGAGAGCUCUUCCCAGUUCCCAGUGGUUGAAGGACUAAAGGGAAAAGAAAACCAAUAAUAACAGAAAAUGAGGAAAAGACAAGAUCAGUCCAAACGUUUCAAGUACCUACUUGUAAAACCAAAGUAUCCUCUUCUCAACUCUUGCUACUAGCACCAAGGCUCUCAUAAAACAAGAUGUACCCAUGAUCCGUAUUACUUGAAUAUUCCUGUGCUGACCCAAAAAAUGUUUGCACAACAGACUCAUCAAUAAUCUCCACAUUUUCGUCAUCAAAAAAUAGCCAGUGCCAGUGAUUGUGGCUUUUGACGAGGCUGACAUAAUGUCCAUGAUUGGGUCCACUUCCAACAUGAACAACUACUGCAAAUAAUGAGUAUUCAAUAUCUGCAUCUUCCAUGGUGUUACUCAGCUUAAGCUCAAGUGGGAAGACAACUCGAUAAGAUAGCUUCUUGUACCGACCCAACUGCUCAAUGUAUUUGAACCUCUUCAGAUGGAUGACCAAGAUGUGAGGGGGUUUCUUUAUCUUCAUCCUCUUCUGGGCUUCUUGCAAACUGCAGCACUUGUCACAGAAAAACUUAUCCUCUGCGUUCAAAGUCUCUGUGGAACUAAAAUUUUUCAAACAACUUGUUAUUGAACUAUUCUGUUCAAUAUCAAGGCUCAAAUCGAAAAAUAUUUCAUCUCUUGCUGUAACAGUCUCACACUGCAGGCAUCUUGUCUCGUUGGUAAGAAUUCCCUGAAAAUUUUUGUGCACCCAUGUGACCAAAGGCUCCUUUGAAACACCAUUUGCCUGAGCAUUCUUUGGCCCAUUUGCAGUCUUUUCAGGUGGGGAUGAAGUUUCUGGAUCACUUUUUACAGCUUGAGCCUCCUUCUCCAGUAUGUCAACAAGUUCAUUUAGCAAAAAAAAAACAAAAUGAGCUUUUCCGUAGCUAUAUGCACCAGGAUGCUCAUUUUGUUUUUUCAAUCUCUGUACGAAACGUUUUGGGGCAAUUACACCUGUUUUCUUCUUCUGUGAACUUAUCUGUGUAAAUAAGUCCGCCAAGCAUGUCAAUAGAUUUUCUUCAGCAUCCCCAGUAUUUUUAUUAUUAGCAUA